AUUGAACGCUGGCGGCAUGCUUUACACAUGCAAGUCGAACGGUAACAGGCCUUCGGGUGCUGACGAGUGGCGAACGGGUGCGUAAUGCAUCGGAACGUACCCAGAGGUGGGGGAUAACGGAGCGAAAGCUGUGCUAAUACCGCAUGUGAUCUGAGGAUGAAAGCGGGGGACCGAGCAGCAAUGUUUGGCCUCGCGCCUUUGGAGCGGCCGAUGUCGGAUUAGCUAGUUGGUGGGGUAAAGGCCUACCAAGGCGACGAUCCGUAGCUGGUCUGAGAGGACGACCAGCCACACUGGGACUGAGACACGGCCCAGACUCCUACGGGAGGCAGCAGUGGGGAAUUUUGGACAAUGGGCGCAAGCCUGAUCCAGCAAUGCCGCGUGCGGGAAGAAGGCCUUCGGGUUGUAAACCGCUUUUGGUAGGAACGAAACGGUGUCCGCUAAUACCGGGCGCUAAUGACGGUACCUGCAGAAUAAGCACCGGCUAACUACGUG
rnacentral:rRNA from 1 species